GAAGGCACAGCUCAAGUGGUAGAGCACAUGUUCAUCAUGCAUAAGGUCCUGGGUUCAACUCCCCAGUGCCUCCU
rnacentral:tRNA from 1 species